rnacentral:rRNA from 1 species
AUUGAACGCUGGCGGCAGGCCUAACACAUGCAAGUCGAACGGUAACAGGAAGCAGCUUGCUGCUUUGCUGACGAGUGGCGGACGGGUGAGUAAUGUCUGGGAAACUGCCUGAUGGAGGGGGAUAACUACUGGAAACGGUAGCUAAUACCGCAUAAUGUCGCAAGACCAAAGAGGGGGACCUUCGGGCCUCUUGCCAUCGGAUGUGCCCAGGUGGGAUUAGCUAGUAGGUGGGGUAAAGGCUCACCUAGGCGACGAUCCCUAGCUGGUCUGAGAGGAUGACCAGCCACACUGGAACUGAGACACGGUCCAGACUCCUACGGGAGGCAGCAGUGGGGAAUAUUGCACAAUGGGCGCAAGCCUGAUGCAGCCAUGCCGCGUGUAUGAAGAAGGCCUUCGGGUUGUAAAGUACUUUCAGCGGGGAGGAAGGGAGUAAAGUUAAUACCUUUGCUCAUUGACGUUACCCGCAGAAGAAGCACCGGCUAACUCCGUG